GAAGUCCAUCCUUCUCACCCCUGUGUUCUCAUUGCAGAAAAGUUGUACGGCGACUUCUUGAGCUGGAAGCUGGAAGAAGCCCUGUCCCAGUUCCCCCUGCAGCCCGGGAAGGUGGCUACUUUCACCAUCAACAUCAAGGCAAAGCUGGACUUCUCUUGCCAGGAGAAUCUCCUCCAGGACCUGAGUGACGAUGGAAUGAGUGUGGGCGGCCUUCCCAU